UUUGGAGUGUGUAUGCUCGAGUGCAAGUGGUUCCCACAAAUGCCUCCUUCUUUUCCCUCUUCCUUGAGGACACACUGCUACUAUCCUUCGUGGCUACAAACUGCCCAAGAUUCAUUGUGCGCCCAAAGAGAAGAAACAAAUAAAUAAAUAAUGGUGACCUCAAGAGGUGCAGAUCCCGCAUUUAAAUGGAGUCUGGUUCACCCAAGGAAGGAGCAACCAUCCAGCCAUUGGAUUCCUUGAAGAGAGGCUUCGGAACAGCAGAGAGAGGCUGAGAUCGCAGAGCAGAUCACGCAGCCGAGACCGCCACAAAGCAGUGAAGAAGGCGCCUGUAGGACACGCAUACCAGAAAGAGCCAUACAGUUUAAAGAAUGGCUGAGACACGUGACAUGACAGUUCGCAGCCCCUCAGCAAGGUGGAGCUAUACGUGCUGGAUACAGCAGUGUACAGGUCCAAGAUGAUCAGGGGAAACAAGUGGGACAUCCAGGAGACCUGCCAAGAGUUUCUGUAUCUACUCACUCCAGGCAUGGUAAAUUAGGAAGGACUAUAUGUUGAGGAUUCAUUGUUAAUAACAAUCUUUUAUCUGCAUGUUAGCUGCCACAUUUAAUUUGUUUUAGGUUGCACAAGACUUUGAAGUCUUACAUGGAGAGACUGCAUCAGAACUCUUCGAAACCUGGCUGCCGUUUUAUGCCAAAAAGAUUCUGUCCCUGGCGACACGGGAAGGGAAUAGUGUUGUUUUUGGCGACCUGUUUUAAUUUUAGUUUUAGUCUAGUCUUUGUGUAAAACUGUCAUUUUAGGUUUUAUUAGUUUUAGUCACGUUUGUAAUCUUUUUAGACUAGUCAAGUUUCAGUCGACUAAAAGUCUGAGCAUUUUAGUCAGAAUUAUCCAUGAC